GGGGCAGGUGUGGAAAUUGGGGGAGGAGCACUUUUAGCCCCUUUUAGAGCCUCUUUGGGGGCUAAAAUUUAGCUCCCAAAGUUUAGGGGGUGUUUGGAUAGCAGGGGCUAAACUUUAGCCCUAUCACAUCGGAUGUUCGGAUGCUAAUUAGGAGGACUAAAUAUGAGCUAAUUACAAAACUAAUAGCAGAACCCUUAGGCUAAAUCACGAGACGAAUCUAUUGAGCCUAAUUAAUCCAUCAUUAGCGAAUGGUUAUUGUAGCACCACAUUGUCAAAUUAUGGACUAAUUAGGCUUAAUAGAUUCAUCUUGUGAUUUAGCCUAGGGGUUGUGUAAUUAGUCUAGGUUUAAUACUCCUAAUUAGUGUCCAAACAUUCGAUGUGAUGGGGACUAAAAUUUAGUCUCCUUCUCCCAAACACCCCUUAGCUAUUUGUCACUUUUAACCCUCCUGUUUGGAUCCCAAGAGCUAAAUUUUGAGCUAAAAGUGCAAGACUCAAAUUUAGUCCAUGGAUC
rnacentral:lncRNA from 1 species